GACAGAUUGCUAGCCCCUUCCAGCCAGUCCUUCCUGCUGGGACAGAUUGCUAGCUAGUCUGCUCUUCUGAAGACACCAUAUGCUGAGGCAUCCCGGAUUUGCUGCACUCAGAGCAUUUGCUGGAAAUCCUUGCCAAACACCAGAAAGUGGAGACCAGACUUCCCUGGCUCAAGAAAUCCACAAGUCUGCAUAGCACCACGUGGUCUUCUGAAAACUAACCAGCAAGAGGAAACCCUCUGGCUGUCUAGCCUGACAGUAGAAUAAGAGGAAUCUUCAGGAACGAGGUCUUACAAUCCAGUUUUGUGGCAACCAAGAGCGACGGAGCAUCAUUAUCCAUAUUUGCAGGUGUGCUCUCCUCUAGUUCACCCUUACUCUGCACCACUGCGGACCCGCAGUACUUGGCCCCCGAGUGACAUCGGUUUGGAACUACUCUCUAUUCUGGCAGUCACCCUACAGCACACCAUGCCAGUUGCCAGUCACAGUCCCCUUUCACCUCUGCAUGAAUAAUAAGAACGAACGAAGGAAGAAGUUAACCAACCAACCAACCCAAUCGACUAAAACCCCUACACCACUGGGCAUCGCUCCUUUGCAUCCUCGCUGGGAAAAAGCAAUUUCACUCCAGCAAAGGUUACUCCUCCAUUCUCCUGUUCUGGGUCCAGGGUCCUGCCAUCUCUUUACUACCUCCCGGGCUGUGGGUCCCGCAUCCUAGCCACCGAUCCCACCACCUCCGGGUCGUCUCCC